rnacentral:rRNA from 1 species
UGCAAGUCGAACGAUGAAGCCUCUUCGGGGGUGGAUUAGUGGCGAACGGGUGAGUAACACGUGGGCAAUCUGCCCUGUACUUCGGGACAAGCCCUGGAAACGGGGUCUAAUACCGGAUGGGACUGCCGGCCGCAUGGUCUGGUGGUGGAAAGCUUCGGCGGUACAGGAUGAGCCCGCGGCCUAUCAGCUUGUUGGUGGGGUGAUGGCCUACCAAGGCGACGACGGGUAGCCGGCCUGAGAGGGCGACCGGCCACACUGGGACUGAGACACGGCCCAGACUCCUACGGGAGGCAGCAGUGGGGAAUAUUGCACAAUGGGCGGAAGCCUGAUGCAGCGACGCCGCGUGAGGGAUGACGGCCUUCGGGUUGUAAACCUCUUUCAGCAGGGAAGAAGCCUUUAAAGUGACGGUACCUGCAGAAGAAGCACCGGCUAACUACGUGCCAGCAGCCGCGGUAAUACGUAGGGUGCGAGCGUUGUCCGGAAUUAUUGGGCGUAAAGAGCUCGUAGGCGGCUUGUCGCGUCGGAUGUGAAAGCCCGGGGCUUAACCCUGGGUCUGCAUUCGAUACGGGCAGGCUGGAGUUCGGUAGGGGAGAUCGGAAUUCCUGGUGUAGCGGUGAAAUGCGCAGAUAUCAGGAGGAACACCGGUGGCGAAGGCGGAUCUCUGGGCCGAUACUGACGCUGAGGAGCGAAAGCAUGGGGAGCGAACAGGAUUAGA